UGGGGAAUAUUGCACAAUGGGCGCAAGCCUGAUGCAGCCAUGCCGCGUGUGUGAAGAAGGCCUUCGGGUUGUAAAGCACUUUCAGCGAGGAGGAAGGUGGUGAGCUUAAUACGCUCAUCAAUUGACGUUACUCGCAGAAGAAGCACCGGCUAACUCCGUGCCAGCAGCCGCGGUAAUACGGAGGGUGCAAGCGUUAAUCGGAAUUACUGGGCGUAAAGCGCACGCAGGCGGUUUGUUAAGUCAGNUGUGAAAUCCCCGGGCUCAACCUGGGAACUGCAUUUGAAACUGGCAAGCUAGAGUCUCGUAGAGGGGGGUAGAAUUCCAGGUGUAGCGGUGAAAUGCGUAGAGAUCUGGAGGAAUACCGGUGGCGAAGGCGGCCCCCUGGACGAAGACUGACGCUCAGGUGCGAAAGCGUGGGGCAGCAAACAGGAUUAGAUACCCUGGUAGUCCACGCUGUAAACGAUGUCGAUUUUGGAGGUUGUGCCCUUGAGGCGUGGCUUCCGGAGCUAACGCGUUAAA
rnacentral:rRNA from 1 species